GAAACGUUCCGACGCCAUAGGAUGGGGCCGCGGCUGAUUAGGUUGUUGGUGAGGUAACGGCUCACCAAGCCGAUAAUCAGUAGCAGCCGUGAGAGCGGGAGCUGCCAGUCGGCUUCUGAGACAAGAAGCCGGGCCCUACGGGGUGCAGCAGGCACGAAACCUUCACAAUGCACGCAAGUGCGAUGGGGGGACUCCAAGUGUAGUCUUCCCACAAGGAAGGCUACUUUUCUGCACUGUAAGGAGGUGCCGGAACAAGGGGUGGGCAAUACUGCUGCCAGCCGCCGCGGUAAUAGCAGAACCCCGAGUGGUAGUCGUUAUUAUUGGGCUUAAAGUGUUCGUAGCCGGCCGUGCAAGUCCGCUGUGAAAUCCAGGCGCUUAACGUCUGGGCGUGCAGCGGAUACUGCACUGGCUAGGGACCGGACGGCGUCGAGGCUAUUCCAGGAGUAGGGGUGAAAUCCUAAAAUUCCUGGAGGAGCGCCUGUGGCGGAAGCGCUCGACGAGUACGGAUCCGACGGUGAGGAACGAAAGCCAGGGGAGCAAAGCGGAUUAGAUACCCGCGUAGUCCUGGCCGUUAACAUUGCCUGUUUGAUGUCAGCCAACCUUCGGGGUUGGCUGGUGCCGAAGUGAAAACGUUAAACAGGCCGCCUGGGUAGUACGGUCGCAAGGCUGAAACUUAAAGGAAUUGACGGGGGAGCACCACAACCGGUGGAGGCUGCGGUUUAAUUAGAUCAAACGCAGCGCACCCUACCAGAGCCGACAGCAGAAUGACGGUCAGCUUGAAGAGCUUACCUGACGCGCUGAGAGGAGCUGCAUGGCCGCCGUCAGCUCGUGCUGUGAAGUGUCCGGUUAAGUCCGGUAACGAGCGAGACCCGCAUCCAAUGUUGCCACGGAGCCGCUUGACGGUUUCGGCACUCGUUGGAGACCGCUGGCGAUAAGUCAGAGGAAGGAGCGGGCCACGGUAGGUCAGUAUGGCCCGAAUGCUCUGGGAUACACGCGGCC
rnacentral:rRNA from 1 species